UUGUGUUGUAAAAUAUAAGCAAUAUACUAUUAGAAAUAUAGACAAAAGAUACGAGGAGUAGAAUGUAGAGAACAUCGUAUUCAAAUAUCUUCAAGUCUCUUUACAAUGGUGAAAGAACAACCUUAUUUAUAGGUUAAGAAAUCACUCCAAAGGUCACCAUAUUAAGUUUCAUAAUAAAUAGAUUCAUUCUUAUCCAAAAAGGUUCAUAUCACCUAGGGAAUACACAUAGAUGAUAAAUAUAAGUUUAUGGAUAAACUCAAUGGACAAUCCAUUAGUUCAACGGAUUAAUAACAACUCCCCUUGGAUAUCC
rnacentral:lncRNA from 1 species